rnacentral:rRNA from 1 species
AUGAACGCUAGCUACAGGCUUAACACAUGCAAGUCGAGGGGCAUCAGGAAGAAAGCUUGCUUUCUUUGCUGGCGACCGGCGCACGGGUGAGUAACACGUAUCCAACCUGCCCUUUACUCGGGGAUAGCCUUUCGAAAGAAAGAUUAAUACCCGAUGGCAUAAUGAUUCCGCAUGGUUUCAUUAUUAAAGGAUUCCGGUAAAGGAUGGGGAUGCGUUCCAUUAGGUUGUUGGUGAGGUAACGGCUCACCAAGCCUUCGAUGGAUAGGGGUUCUGAGAGGAAGGUCCCCCACAUUGGAACUGAGACACGGUCCAAACUCCUACGGGAGGCAGCAGUGAGGAAUAUUGGUCAAUGGGCGCUAGCCUGAACCAGCCAAGUAGCGUGAAGGAUGAAGGCUCUAUGGGUCGUAAACUUCUUUUAUAUAAGAAUAAAGUGCAGUAUGUAUACUGUUUUGUAUGUAUUAUAUGAAUAAGGAUCGGCUAACUCCGUGCCAGCAGCCGCGGUAAUACGGAGGAUCCGAGCGUUAUCCGGAUUUAUUGGGUUUAAAGGGAGCGUAGGUGGACUGGUAAGUCAGUUGUGAAAGUUUGCGGCUCAACCGUAAAAUUGCAGUUGAUACUGUCAGUCUUGAGUACAGUAGAGGUGGGCGGAAUUCGUGGUGUAGCGGUGAAAUGCUUAGAUAUCACGAAGAACUCCGAUUGCGAAGGCAGCUCACUGGACUGCAACUGACACUGAUGCUCGAAAGUGUGGGUAUCAAACAGGAUUAGAUACGCUGGUAGUCCACACAGUAAACGAUGAAUACUCGCUGUUUGCGAUAUACAGUAAGCGGCCAAGCGAAAGCAUUAAGUAUUCCACCUGGGGAGUACGCCGGCAACGGUGAAACUCAAAGGAAUUGACGGGGGCCCGCACAAGCGGAGGAACAUGUGGUUUAAUUCGAUGAUACGCGAGGAACCUUACCCGGGCUUAAAUUGCAGUGGAAUGAUGUGGAAACAUGUCAGUGAGCAAUCACCGCUGUGAAGGUGCUGCAUGGUUGUCGUCAGCUCGUGCCGUGAGGUGUCGGCUUAAGUGCCAUAACGAGCGCAACCCUUAUCUUUAGUUACUAACAGGUCAUGCUGAGGACUCUAGAGAGACUGCCGUCGUAAGAUGUGAGGAAGGUGGGGAUGACGUCAAAUCAGCACGGCCCUUACGUCCGGGGCUACACACGUGUUACAAUGGGGGGUACAGAAGGCAGCUAGCGGGUGACCGUAUGCUAAUCCCAAAAUCCUCUCUCAGUUCGGAUCGAAGUCUGCAACCCGACUUCGUGAAGCUGGAUUCGCUAGUAAUCGCGCAUCAGCCACGGCGCGGUGAAUACGUUCCCGGGCCUUGUACACACCGCCCGUCAAGCCAUGAAAGCCGGGGGUACCUGAAGUGCGUAACCGCAAGGAGCGCCCUAGGGUAAAACCGGUAAUUGGGGCU